GACAGAGGGGGCAAGCGUUGCUCGGAAUUACUGGGCUUAAAGAGUUCGUAGGCGGCGCAGAAAGUAGGGUGUGAAAGCCCUCGGCUCAACCGAGGAAUUGCGCUCUAAACUACUGUGCUCGAGGAACCUAGAGGUGAGCAGAACUGAUGGUGGAGCGGUGAAAUGCGUUGAUAUCAUCAGGAAUACCGGAGGCGAAGGCGGCUCACUGGGGGUUUUCUGACGCUGAGGAACGAAAGCCAGGGGAGCGAACGGG
rnacentral:rRNA from 1 species